UGGGGCUGGGUGGUUUUCAAGGUCCCCUCCAACCCAAACCAUGGUAUGAUUCUUUGAAAUACUCACUCCUGGACACAUUCGCAAAUGUUUGCUGCACAGGACAAGUUGAGAUUCCAACACAUAAAGCAGGACAGAAAUCCUUCAUUUCGAACUGAGUCUCAGGACAGUGGUUUCAUGAGGAUUGUUAUUAGAGAAUGGGAAAUGAAGAAAAUGCAGUGUGGUUCAAAGCAGACUGACUGCCAACUACAUUAAAAAAAAAGACUGCAACAAGUCAGUGACUCAGCUGUCAUUCAGAGGAAAAAUGUGGGAUGUACAGUAGGAAGGGAAAGUGCAACAUGGGUUGCUGUGGCAUGCCCCAUUCUCGUGCCGUGCCAUGCCAGUAUUGCUGAUGGCUGGGCUUGGGGCUUAACCAGCAUGUAAGAAAGAAGCUGCUUCACCACCAUUUCAGAAGGGCAAAGGGAAGUGGAAAGUUUACUUCUUGUAUUGAAAGUACUGCCAGGAAAAAAGAAAAGUUGGGAAAGAAAAAAACAAUACAAAUUACUUCUAGGUAUUUUUAUGCAUAGAUCAGAAAACCUUGCAGAAAGCCACACAAAAGUCAUUAGUGACUGUGACAAUGGGAAGACAGUAGAGUGAAGAAAAAUGUCUUCGCUCUUAAUUAUACUGGAGACCUUUUCCCUUGGGUUCUCUCUUGGUUAGAGUAUUAAUGUUCUGUAGUUAAUUAGCUCUUCCUUCCUUCAGAGCAAUUUCAUUAUUUUAAUUAAUAUAGCAUUGCUAACCUAUUAAUCCUGCCAAUUGGCUGGAGGUAUUGCACAAAUGGUUAAAAACAAGCAGCAAUUAAGAUGGACCCGUUACUUAUUGAAGUUUCUGAAAAUUGAAAUAGCUCGCUCAGCCCAAUAAACACAGAAGCACACUGCAGGCCAUCUAGGAAUGUCCCAGCCUGUCUCAGGUAAAAUUAAGUCCUGAUCCAACAAGCCUUUUCAAGUCGUACGUAGUUCUACAGAUGUGAACUGUCUCACAGGAAUUGAGAGAAUCAAAGCAUUUCCGAAGGCCUGGGUGGUGUGUGGCAGCCCUGGUGAUGCUGACCCCAGCUGCUGAGGUUCAGGUUGGGAGUUUCACAUGGGUGUGGAGUAUGGCAUCAAGGCCAUGUUGGCCUUCAGAUGCCAACCAGAGCUCACAUUUUUGAAGCAAACCUUCAAAGGUCAUCAUAAACUGCUUCUGGGAAGAUGUGGGAGACUAAAUCAGGAGGAGGAGUUUGUUUUGAGACAACCAGUAAUUUAAUGUGCUGUAGAGGGCCAUCAGUAAAAUAGUGGUUGAGUCUAGACAGCACUUGCACUGAACUGUACUCACGGUACAACAUAUUGGCACUUUCUGUAACCUGCUAUUUCUUCAGGAACUCAGGCUUCUUUAAAAGAAAUAUAGAAAGAUAGGGGAAAUGUGUAUAUCAAUAAAAAGGCCCAGAGGUUGGGUGGAGAGCAGGGCCGAACCUGCACAGCGCUUGGGACAUUGACAUAGGGAGAUCAGAGGAGUCGGCUCUGCAGUGAUAGAUGAAAUAUCAACAUUUUAACUGCUGUAUUUGCUUGUGUAAUGGCUGUGUGCAUGGAGCAGGCACACCCUGCAAUCACAGCCCCAGCUGACAGGGAACAAGAGAGCUCUGGCAGUUUUAGAAGGUGUGCACGCAGCAGUGGAGCCCUCCUUUCAAACCAAACUCACAGAAGCACAGACCUACCCGUUACCACGGCCUGCCAUCUCACAGAGAUGUUACCCCUUUUCCUCCCGGGAAGAAGGGACCAAUUCUUCCACAUCUAUCAGAGCUCUCAGAUACAUUCGACGCAUGAGCCAAAAGCAGCUCUAUGCCAAAGCCUUCCUCCUUCCCAGGUGAGGAUAAUCAUCCAGAAAGCUGUAGAAGUUAUUUGGACGGGGCAAUUCCGUGUGGGAUUUCAUUUGAAGAAAAGUAUGAUUCUGAAAGAAUACUGGCAGCAUUAAUUUUUGUGUUAUCGGACAGUAAACUGUAAUGCACUGCAGCCCAGCUUUAACAGAGAAGUUUCACAGGCAUAUUAUAAACAGGAACAUUAGCAGUUUUAUCAUCUUGUUCCAGGUAAUCAUCUUGUUCCAUAUAAUUAUUAGCUUUUGCUUCUUGGAUGAAGUAAUCUUUUAAAAUCUGUUCCUAUUUAAUUAGUCAUAUUCCCUACUGACUGCCACAGGCAUCUCCUGUGCAGGUGUAGUCUUGAAGCUGUGAAUACAUUUUCAGAAGUGAUUCCAAAAAGGAGCUGCUCAGACUGGAACCAGCAGCAGAAAACCUUUUCUGCAUCAGUCUUACCAUUCAGGACAAGAAUAUGAUCUGCUCGCAAGCUGUGUAAUGAGGAAACCAAUUGAGCAGAGAGAUCUGGUCAGGGGUAGGUGAAGGGAUUAACAUUUUAAAGAUACAGCAGAAAAGAGGGUAUGCUGCACUGCACUGUAUCGCAGCCUGACUUUGCUUGCAAUCUCUUAGUGCUCAGUGCUUGAAAAGCUUGACCUUAGCUCCUAUGAGUUACCUGGGGGUUUAGGUGUACUCAGCAUCACCCACAAGUAGAUCUGAAUUAACUGAUCGGAAGGCAGGGCUCCCAGGGAGUAGUGGCCUGAGGGUGGGCUUUGUUUCCCCAUUGACUGAGUUAUGAGUCUGUACAUUUAUUUACUCUGAAGCACUCAAAUCUUGCCUAGUCAGAGCUUUAGAUGAUGUCCGACUUAGAGAAGGUAAAGACCAUCUGCUGGGAAAUACACACCAUUUUAAAAAACGAAAGCUGGGGCUUACCAGUGGUAGAUUCAUCUGUAAUCUUUUUAUCCCCACAAGCAGCUGAUUUUCUUUAGGUGCUGUGAGAGGCUUCACGAUUCUCCGGAAGGGAGAGAUUGGUAGGUCACAUUCUGUUCUGUUUUCGUAACUAGAAUGAAUAGCUUAAGGCUAAGGGAAUCCUCCUCUAUUCCAGAAGGCUUAUUCUCCUGACCCCAGGUUAUAGCACUAGCAAAACUCUUUGAAAUUACUCCACGGUCCAUGAUAACCUUUGUAAAUCCCACAUUAGGAAGAGAGUUAUAGCCACCAGUGUUCCAUUUUUCUUUCUGUGACCCUCAACCAAAGCAUCUCUUUGUUGCAGAAGACUGACUUCUCACUGAAUAUCUCUGCACAGCAUGGUCAGGGAGAAAGCCAUGAAGGGUCUCCUCUCUCUUCUUUCUCCUCCUGUCUGCUGCAUUUGGCUGCAGUAAGGGUAAAAGCCAAACUUCAUGUGAUAGUAUCAUAAUUAUUAUUAGUCUUGGAUGAUAUCCCACAAUGACAUCAAGCUCACUGUAACAUGUAAUAAGUCAAUAAAAGGAUUAAACUGAACUUAAGCUCUUUCCAGCUGUCAAUAUCUAUUGCCCACAUACUUGCAUCGGAAACAGAGAAGACUAUUCUCUCUUAGAGAGUCUGAUUUCAUUUCCACUGAAAGAAUUUCAUGAUGGCAAGUCCAUCAGCUUCAAGAGAGAUGCUCUUGGCUGGAACUAAUCUAAAAAGAACAAAAAUCGGGUUCCUAAUGUUAAUAUAUUCAUCUUCUGCUUGGCUCCUUAUCCGCAUCAUGAAGACAUUGAUUCAAAUGUGAUUUCAGGGUCUAUUUAGAUAGGUAUCUAGUCAAGGACAUUUUCUGUGGGGAAAUUGCUCACAUACCACUCCGUAUAUGUUGCUGGCAUAACUGAAGGAUCAGCAAAACCCAUUUCUGCUUUUUCUAUAUAUUUAUUUCAGUGUAAACCUGAGCACUUACAAAGCACGCCAGGGUUCAACCUCAUGGUGGAUUUGUGUGCUGGGAUGAUAUCCUGUUCUACAGGAGAUUACAAAUUCACGCUGCCAGCCUUUAAGCUUCUCACUUGGUCCGUGGGAGCCCUAGGCUUCUUACAGUCAGUUAAAUCUCGAGGCGCCUAAAUUAAAUAUUUUGAAUAAUCACAGAGAGACUAAAACCUUGACUUUCAAACAUGGCUUCUGAUUUGGGGAAACGACAUUUCCGAUUGCUCUUGGAGCAUCUUGACCUUGACUUGCGUGUAGGAAGGACUGUAGAUCUCAUGGCCCUCAGCUGGAGCUGGAGGCAUUAGAUGUCUGGCCUCAGGCUGAUCAAACUGGGCACAUCAAGCAAUCAAGCACAGUGAAAUCAGAAGCUGCUUCUGAAAACAAACCCUCCAGCGCUCUGUCAGAGGAGGUGUGGGAUAAGUAGAUAUUACUCCCCUCCAUUCUGAACCCAGAUGAUGCGUCUUAAACACAAUACUGCCCUUUGCUUGUAUUGAGAGAAGGUACAUAAAAGUCUGUAGAAGGUAAAGGUGAAGCCAAAGUGUUUCAUUUAUUUUUUUACCCAACAAUGCAAACCUCAGAAGAAUAGUGUAUGGUAGGCAUGCAGAAAUGUACUGGCCAUUUUAAAAGGGGCAAAAAAAUUUACUGAGAGGAGGGAAAUAUUUUUGUCUUCUUUGUACAAAUAAAUUGCUUGUUCAUCACAGCACAGUUAUGAGUAAGCACGUGAGUUUAUUGAUGUGCAGUUAUUGAUUUUUUUCCUGUAUAUUAUCUUGUGGUUGCACUGCCUGCCUCUGAGAAGUGCACAUUAUUAUUGAUCAUUAUGGAGCUGCUAACUACAUAGUAAGUUCUCCAGCAUUGCUCUGAUCUUGUACCUUUUCUAUCCUCUAUUCUUUUUCAGACUUCCUUUUACUUUCCCAGACAUUCUGCCUGCCUGCAUAAUAUUGUUCUCUGACUUUUCUACAGUGAGAUAUACUUCACAAAUACCAUAAGUUCUAAUAUGGGCUCACACGUAUCCAUCGCAUUUAUUUGGUGCACCAGUCACUGCUGGAAACUUGCAUAGCCUUAAAGCAAUUUCUCAUGAUGAAAAAAUAGGCAGCAAGUUAAAUUUUAAAGCUGUCAUCUUCUUUAUGUCCUCAGAAUGCACAGAGAAUGAGAUGGAGAGAACAAAAUGCUGCUUAACUGCAGCAGUCAGUACAGCUGGAUACCUGUGUAGAACUGAGGCCUAACUGAUAAUGCAGUUACUUUAUCAUCAGACAUUGCUACAAAGAAUGGAAGGAUAAAAAUGGAUUAAAUCGCGGCAUUUACUUAAGACAUUCAAUUAUUAAUGGAAAGAAAAAGUUAUAACACUCAUGUUGUAUGAAACACCUCUUUAAAUAAACCAAACAACAACAAAGAAGUCAGCAAGGAAUCCUGAAGUUGCCAGCCUAAACUGCUUGAUAACGUAGAAACAAAAGCACUUUGAAAAGACUUCUACAAAUCCGCAGUCAUUUUCAGCUCCUAUUCUGUGGGCGGCACAGAUAUUUGUCCUGUGUUCUCACCUGCAGAUGGAUCUGCCCAUUCUGAAGAAGGCUAUGCUGCUCAAGUCUGUCAUCGCUUGUUGACGUAACUUUUUAAUUAAAAACUGACAAGACGAUGAAAACUGA